rnacentral:tRNA from 1 species
GGGCGAGAGCCGAAUAUUGGUUAAGUCGGCGCGGACUGUAAAUCCGUAGUCUGCUAGACAGGGUGGUGGUUCAAUUCCAUCCUCGCCCACCA